GAUGAACGCUGGCGGCGUGCCUAAUACAUGCAAGUCGAGCGAACAGACGAGGAGCUUGCUCCUCUGACGUUAGCGGCGGACGGGUGAGUAACACGUGGAUAACCUACCUAUAAGACUGGGAUAACUUCGGGAAACCGGAGCUAAUACAGGAUAAUAUAUUGAACCGCAUGGUUCCAUAGUGAAAGUCGGUUUUGCUGUCACUUAUAGAUGGAUACGCGCCGCAUUAGCUAGUUGGUAAGGUAACGGCUUACCAAGGCGACGAUGCGUAGCCGACCUGAGAGGGUGAUCGGCCACCCUGGAACUUAGACACAGUCCAGACGCCGACAGGAGGCAGCAGUAGGGAAUCUUCCGCAAUGGGCGAAAGCCGGACGGAGCAACGCCGCGUGAGUGAUGAAGGUCUUCGGAUCGUAAAACUCUGUUAUUAGGGAAGAACAAAUGUGUAAGUAACUAUGCACGUCUUGACGGUACCUAAUCAGAAAGCCACGGCUAACUACGUG
rnacentral:rRNA from 1 species